ACGGGAGGCAGCAGUGGGGGAUAUUGCACAAUGGGGGAAACCCUGAUGCAGCGACGCCGCGUGAGUGAAGAAGUAUUUCGGUAUGUAAAGCUCUAUCAGCAGGAAAGAUAAUGACGGUACCUGACUAAGAAGCACCGGCUAAAUACGUGCCAGCAGCCGCGGUAAUACGUAUGGUGCAAGCGUUAUCCGGAUUUACUGGGUGUAAAGGGAGCGCAGGCGGUACGGCAAGUCUGAUGUGAAAGCCCGGGGCUCAACCCCGGUACUGCAUUGGAAACUGUCGAACUAGAGUGUCGGAGGGGUAAGCGGAAUUCCUAGUGUAGCGGUGAAAUGCGUAGAUAUUAGGAGGAACACCAGUGGCGAAGGCGGCUUACUGGACGAUAACUGACGCUGGGGCUCGAAAGCGUGGGGAGCAAACAGGAUUAGAUACCCUGGUA
rnacentral:rRNA from 1 species